UAAGGCUACCCUGUUGCUGUAUUGUGCAAGUACAUAGCCAUUGGGCUACAGAAAGAGUGAGACUGACUCUGUAUCCUAGUGUUAGGUUGCUCACCCAGAUGUGGAGACCCAAGUUUUGUUUCCAGUGACUGUCAGCUAUUCAUAUGCAAUGGAAUGGUUUCAACAGAAAGACUGAGAGAGCCCUGCUCCAAACGACCCACCGCAGUGAUUUAGGCGCUUCUCUAAAGAGAAGAGAGACCAGUUUUCAGAUCCCUUCUUUCACAUCGUAUGGCCAGGGGAGAGUUAAACCCAGUUCUCCCAUAUCCGAGCUCAGUGUGAAGUAUGCCCGGUUUUUACAAUAUACUUGGGCUCACUGCGGGUUGUGGUGCUGUAUGGACAGGAGGCUGUGAAGGAAGCUCUGAUUGAUCAAGCGGAUGAGUUCAGUGGAAGAGGAAACUGGCACUGGCUGACAAGGUUAUCAAAGGAGAAGGCAUUAUUUUCAGCAAUGGGGAGCGGUGGAAGCAGCUCUGCCGAU